rnacentral:misc_RNA from 1 species
AUUACCGUUACACAUAACUCAAGCCACUAAAUGUCCAAGAUGGCGUACAACCACGAAGAUGCACCAAAUACGCGUUUGUUUAUCAUGUGUGGCAAAGGCGCCACAGAUGAAAUGCUUAAGAAAACUUUUGCUACAUAUGGAACUAUCAAGGACCUUUGGAUCGUGAAAGAUAGGCGCACAAAUGAAGAAAAAGGAAUUGCCUACAUCACAUUCAGUCGUACUUCGGAGGCAGCCUUGGCGAUGGAGGAGAUGAAUGGAAGAAACAUAGAGGGGCAGCCUCGACCACUCAAGGUUGUCAUUGCAAAUAGUAAAAGAGAAGGAUCUAUUCGCGACCCCAAAGAGGAGGAGAGAAUUCUUCGAUUAUUUGUUGUUAUUCCAAAAUCCUUCAAAGAAGAUGACCUGCGGACAGAGUUCAGCCAAUAUGGAGACAUUGACUAUGUGAAUGUUCUCCGGAACAAGGGCGGUGAAAGUAAAGGUUUUGGCUAUGUCAAGUAUUUCCGUCCCUAUCAUGCGGCCAAGGCCUUCGAGGAAUGUGACAAGAGUUACAAGGCAAUGUUUGCUGAACCUCCCCGCCCCAAAGGCGUCCGAGAGAUGGACGACCCAGAAUUCUACUAUGACCAGAACAGAGGGUCGAAGAGGUCGUACGAUGAUGACUAUGGUGGUGGCAGCUACAACCGACAUGGCGGUGGUGGAGGCCAUCGUGACCAUCGAGAUCAUGGUGGGCACGGCGGAGGUCAUGGCGGCGGUCAUGGCGGUGGGCAUGGCGGCGGGCAUGGCGGCGGCGGUAUGGGUGGUCUGGGCGGUCUAGGUGGAGGUCUAGGCGGAGGUCUAGGCGGUGGUCUUGGAGGUGGUGUUGGCGGUGGUCUUGGAGGUGGUCAUGGCGGUGGUCUCGGUGGUGGUCUUGGUGGACCUCUUGGAGGACGAGACUUCACGAUGACGCCAAAUCAGAUGGGUCCGCUUGACAUCCUGGACAACUACCCCAUCUCUUCACCGUGCGUCAAGCUGCAGAUCGUUGCUGCGAUAGGUCUGCCCCAGCGCUACCUGUCCGUGCUCUUCAGCCUCGUCCCCGGACUGGAGUAUUGUGACUUCAAUGAGUCAACAGGUAUUGGGUAUGCACGCUACUCCAACCCCCAGUGUGCAUCCUAUGCCCGGGACAAGCUGGACGGCUUCGAGUACCCUAUUGGCAGUCAGCUCCGAGUGUCCUUUGCUGAUGGAGGGGGAUCCCCAGGAAACAGUUUUUCAGGGUCAAGGUCAAGAGAUGGCCCCGAUGUCCGACAUCAGGCGGCCAUGUUGCUGGAGAAGGCCGGGAUCAACCCACACCAGGUCCUCAAUGCAGAGAGCUCCAUGGAGAGGGUGGGGUACUGCAACAUCGCCCUCCCCCCUCCCAAACCCCUCCAACCAGAAGACACGCCCGUAGCACAGAGGCUGUUCAUCGUAUGUCAGCCCUCGUCUGUAUCUGAGAAGAUUCUGCGAGAUGCCUUCUGCAGAUUUGGCAAUCUGAUUGAUGUUUACUUGCUGGCAGGACGUAACUAUGGUUACGCCAAGUUUGGCAGCAAGGAGGCCGCUAUGAAGGCUAUCCAGGUGCUGCAUGGUCAGCACCUCACUGGACAGAGGCUCAAGGUGCUAGAGGCCGAGCCUCCCAAGAACGAGGGAGCAGGGGAGGGUCCAGCGAAGAAAGCCAGAUACUGAUGUGGGCGUUUUGCAAGUUGUGUACUAACUCUCCCAGCAUCAAGUGAAGCAAGUGAGCAUUCGAUGUCAUUCAUCAGCAUGAAGCAAGACACGUCAAUCAAGGUGAGGAUAUUGCCUGAGACUCUGGCAUAGGAUCUGAAGACACAGACCAAAAACAGGUUCCAGUGGUCAAAAUGUCUGCUGUUAAUAAAUAGCACGACCCGAACCUCUCCAGUCAGCCACCGAAGAUGAUUGGAUCCGUGCGGAUGCUGUUGCCAAAUUAUUCAGAAUGACUACCCUACGUUUUGCCAUGACAGUGGUAACAAUACCUACAUAUACCUGCCAGUGGUCAUGUAAGGCAUUGCACUGAUGGAUUGGUUGUUGCAGAUUCUACAAGAAGACAAGAGAGAUGAACCAGACAUGGAGAGUUCAGUAGAUGGGAGCUCCUGAAAGCAUGCAAUUGUGACAUUAAGAAAUAAUCAUAACGUCUUGCUGACACAUGAUCUGACUGGCCAGACAAGUCAGUAGUUAUGCCAGUACGGACAUCAGGACAGAACAGGUCUUGCUGACACAUGAUCUGACUGGCCAGACAAGUCGGUAGUUAUGCCAGUACGGACAUCAGGACAGAACAGGUCUUGCUGACACAUGAUCUGACUGGCCAGACAAGUCAGUAGUUAUGCCGGUACGGACAUCAGGAUACAACAGGUCUUGCUGACACAUGAUCUGACUGGCCAGACAAGUCAGUAGUUAUGCCGGUAUGGACAUCAGGACAGAACAGGUCUUGCUGACACAUGAUCUGACUGGCCAGACAAGUCAGUAGUUAUGCCGGUACGGACAUCAGGACACAACAGGUCUUGCUGACACAUGAUCUGACUGGCCAGACAAGUCAGUAGUUAUGCCGGUACGGACAUCAGGAUACAACAGGUCUUCUGGUCAUAUAUGUAUGUUGGUGUGACAAUUAUAUCUUUGUCGACUAGACUUGCGUUCUUAAUAGAUUUAUACUACUCAAAACAAGUUAAAGAACACCCACUACUGGAAGAGUUUGUGUUGCAGUACCCACAGCCAUGGCAGAUUAACUAUAGCCAGAUGCAAAACUCGGGUGUUCUGUAACUUCUUUUGGGUAGUAUACUUGAUUUUGAAAGCCUGUAUAUCAUUUAUGUGAAAAAAAAUUAAAAACAGAAAAUUAAUUUAUCUUUCCUAGUGUAUAUGAUCAACUACUAUAAGGUCCAAAAGCAUGAUGCAGUGAUGUAGCCUUGUGGUCAUAAUGUUGUCCUGAAAUUGGUAUCCCCAGUGGUGACAGUGAGGUUUUAGCAUCAUUCCAGCCUAACUCCAAAAGCAUCUGGUCUCUAAAAGAACGUGAAUUCCUGUCCACAAUAUGCUUGUUUGUACCACAGAAAGUGGAACGUAAUAAAUCUGUUCGACCAUU